rnacentral:rRNA from 1 species
UACGUAGGUGGCAAGCGUUGUCCGGAUUUAUUGGGUUUAAAGGGUGCGCAGGCGGCUUGCUAAGACAGGUGUGAAAGCCCCGAGCUUAACUUGGGAAUGGCGCUUGUGACUGGCAGGCUGGAGUGUGGCAGAGGGAGGUGGAAUUCCACGUGUAGCAGUGAAAUGCGUAGAGAUGUGGAGGAACACCGAUGGCGAAGGCAGCCUCCUGGGCCAACACUGACGCUCAUGCACGAAAGCGUGGGGAGCAAACAGG